AUACGUAGGUGACAAGCGUUAUCCGGAUUUACUGGGCGUAAAGGGCGUGUAGGCGGUCUUGCAAGUCAGAAGUGAAAUUCCUGAGCUCAACUCGGGCGCUGCUUCUGAAACUGCAGGACUUGAGUGCUGGAGGGGAUAGCGGAAUUCCUAGUGGAGCGGUAAAAUGCGCAGAUAUUAGGAAGAACACCGGUGGCGAAGGCGCCUAUCUGGACAGUACGGGACACUGAGGCGCGAAAGGGUGGGGAACAAACAGGAUUAGAUCCCCUUGUAGUCCACGCCGUAAACGAUGAAUACUAGGUGUAGGGGGUAUCGACUCCCGCUGUGCCGCAGUUAACACAAUAAGUAUUCCGCCUGGGGAGUACGGCCGCAAGGUUGAAACUCAAAUGAAUUGGCGGGG
rnacentral:rRNA from 1 species